rnacentral:tRNA from 1 species
GCCCCAGUAGUUCAACGGAUAGAAUAGAGCACUCCUAAGGCUUUGAUGUGGGUUCAAUUCCUGCCUGGGGCA